UUGCUUUCAAAUGAAGAAUUUGUGCUUGUGUUCUCUUUUCUCAAAAGCUUUUACUGACGAUGACGUCACAGAUGACAUCGCCUGCCUGAAUACCAUUAUUAGCAGCAUUAAACCUAGACCGAAAAACAACAUCACUCUUCCACUUGUAACGCUGAGCACUAUUUUGGUGAAGGAGUGUCACUUUGUGGUUCCCUCUCAGUAUUUUGUGGAGUGUCCGAGUGGAACAACACCGUCGCCUGGAACAAUGCUGUGAUUUUACUCUCCUGACCUGCUGUAAUACUGUAGAUUUGAACCAGUCAACUACAGAAUCAUAUAGACUACCUAACUAACAAUGCUACAUACAGUCACAACAGUCUGAUGUUUCCACAGCAACUGCCUUUGAUUGAAUAAUGGUAAUGAGGUUGUUAUGAUGGUGGUGGGAUCUGUGCGAGUUUAAACAAUUUAAAGACUUUGAACAGGGGCCGCUUGUGCAUUAAUAAACUUUAUAUUAUUCCUGCA
ensembl:lncRNA